CCCCAGGCCGGUACACCCUAAGAGGGCCCGCUUGUGCCGCCUUAUGGAUGCAGUAACCCACCCAAUUAUCAGUCAAUACUUACCCAAAAAAAAAACAGAAUGUCGGCAAAACCGAUAAUCGGUUGAUCCAUGUAGUUAUGGUAAUAAGCCCAGGCAGUUUGGAGUUGUGGUAAUAAGCCCAGGCAGUGUGACAGUGUAUGGUUGUGGUAAUAAGCUCAGGGCGUGUGACAGUGUGUGAUUCAGGGCUUUAAUUCUGUCCAUAAGGGGACAUGUGCCCAGUAUUCAGGUGUCUGUCUGACCCUACCUCUCUCUUCAUAGUAACAGAACUGGAAUAUUGCUCCCUGGUAAGUAUUGUGUACACAGGGCUGUAACAUU